AAAUCAGCAAGCUACCAAACUCCGGCAAGAACUCCGGCAAUUCUCCAGUCAACUCAUUUGAAGAGAGAUUCAGAGAGUGGAGAUGAAAGCAGGGGGAAACUAACUCUGAAGAGAGACUACCAUUAAGAUAAUUAUCAGCAAGAGAGAGGUUCUGAAGUGUCUGAAUCCUGCAGAACCCUGAAGGAAAGCCACCAGAAACACCAAACCCAGACAAAUCGAUGGAAACGACGGCAUGUGUUUUGUAAUCACAAGCAAUACCAGUCCAUUUGCAGGGAUCAUCACUGGUGGGAACCCAGUCUCCCAGUCUACCCUCCGGGUCAUCAAGCCCGCUAUUCUUGAUCUGAAUCAGAAUAUCGGCGUCCCUGUUCAGAGAAAUCACCAGAGAAACAAAACCCGAAAAGAAGAAGAAGACUAGCAGCAGGCGCAGAGUCAUGUUCCAGAGAGCUCUGGGAGUGAGAAGAAGAAUAAGCAUUGGCUUUAGAGGGCUUGGGGUUGAGGAAACGGAUGGGUUCAUUGCAUGGAAAUGGUGACAAGUAGAGUUCCUCCGGGAAUCGCAGUUUCGGGCGGCUCACAUGGAAAUUACUAUUGCAGGAAGCAGAACAUGGUCUUUGGGAAAAUGGGUGAGCACAGUGCUUUACGGAUAACAUGCAAGAUAUUAGGUUAGGUACAAUUACGCGUUUAAGGCCAAAAUAGUGCUUUUUAAGAAUAAAAUAAUCAAAAUAAUAUUUACUUACCAAUCUAACCUUUUUUAUCACGACGAUCCACGUGACUGUUUUUUAUUUUUUAAUGUAAAAAAAUCGAUGAAUGACUUCCCAAAUGAUUUAACAUCCUAAAAACGGUUUCUAACAUUUUUAAUACUCACAAGGAUAAAAAAAAAUUCAAGUAUUAAAAUAUUAAAAAUAUUUUUUAAAAUCAUUUCUAAACCAACUCUUAAUUAUCUUAACUUCAAUUUUUUGAUUUACUAAAUAUAAAAAGUUGCUUAUACUAAUUAAAAAAUUAUUAAUAAAUAUAGAAAAUAUUUUUUGUUUGAAUCUCCAUAUGAGUACAUUAAUAAUUAUAAAAAUAAAAAUAUAACUAAAAUGAUAUUUAAAAUAGAAAUAUAAUCAGAAUAAUAUAAAAAGAAUUAAGAGUUUGUUUAAUAAUGAUUGUAAAAAACGCUUUUAAUCUAAAAAUUAUCUUUGAAAACGCUUUUAAAAAUAUUUCUCUUAACAAAACUUUGAAAAAAAGUACUUAUUAAAAAUACUUCAAAUAAAAAUACUAGCAAACACAUUUUAAAAUCAAUAAUCCACUCAAUAAAAAAAAAAUAUUUAUUUUAAUAAAAAAAUUAAAAGAAUAUAUUAAUUGUUAUUGUAAUUUUUUUAUAUAAAAGAUAGAGUGAAAGAAGAAUAAAAUUGAUAAUUCACUUGAGGAUUGUUUAUUUUGAUAAAAUAUUAAAGGAAUAUAUCAUUAUUAUAGUAAGUUUUUUUUUUCUUUUCUUUUAUUAUUCCAUAUAGGAAUCAAUUAAAUUUAUAAAAAAUCUACCCCAUUUGAAAUAAUUUCUAUGAGGAAAUUUUAUCAUUAAAAACUAUUAAAAUAAAAUAAAUAAGGAAAAAAAAAUGAUAUACGUACGAGAAGAGAAGAGAGUAAAUGAAUAAUCAUAUUCAUUUGAAAAUAGGAUAGAAAAAUAUAAUAUAUGGUAAUACUUACUUUAAAAAAAAUGUAAUAUAUUUGGUAUUAUUUUUAAAUCAUUUUAUAAUCUAUAAUUUAGAAAAUAAUAUUUAUUUUUUGAAAUUUUAGUGAAUUUAUGAGGUCAAUUUGAAAUUUCGGGAUUUGGAGGAUUGUUGAUGGUUUUAGCGUAAUAUCUCACAUUAAGUAGAAAAGGAAGUUUCUUAGUGGGUUCUCACAUUAAGUACAAAAGGAAGUUUCUUAGUGGGUUCUUCGGGUACACACGCAUUUUAGAAAAUAGAGUUGACUGGAGUUGCAUGUCAUUAAAAAUUAGUACUAGAGUUUGACCUAGAUUUAGGACUUUAUCUGACCCUGUGAUACUACUCUUUGCUUGCCCCUAAAUCUCAAGGAAUAUGAAUGAAAAGUUUCCAUCUUGAGGAAUGAUUGUAUUACCUCAAAUUAAUUAUGGUAAAAGUUUUUCAUGUUAUAUAUGUUGUGUGUUGUUUUAAAUGAUCAUGUCAUUUUUUAAAUAGUAAGAAUCUAUCAUAUCAAUAAUAGGCAAUAUUUAGGUAAAAAUAUUAAAUUUUAUUUUAUAAGUGUUUUUUAAAACAGUUUUAAAAAGUAAUUUUUGAAAACUGUUUUAUGAUAUUUGAUAAAAUAAAUGUCAGUUUAAGAAUCUAAAAUGUUUUAACCUGUUUUUUUAUAUUUUUAGCUAUGUUUUAAAAAUAAUUGUUAUAUGCAAAGUUUUAUUUUUAAUCUUCUUCUAUAUUUAAAAUAACCCUAAAAAAUAAAUUAAAAUAAUUAAAAAGCGUUAUUUGAAAACCUCUUAGUUUUUGUUUUUAAAAAUAGAAAUUAAAUUUUUUAUUAUCAAGCAUAUUUUCUUACUUUUUUAUUUUGAAAAACAGAAAAUUAACCUAAAAAGCAGAUAUAAAAUAUAGCUUUUUUUAAAAAAAAAAAUCUUAUUCUAUAUCUGACCAAUUAAAUAUUAUCGUAAACAACUAGCUAGCUUGAAUUUUGUACCGAAGUCAACACUUUGUCAGAAGGUCUAAGUUUGGAAAUGAAGUUUAAUUUUGAAACAUACAAGCUAGAAUUUGGAUACUUGAAUUCUUUGAAAUUGAGUAUGGAAUUGAAAAUGUAUGAUAAAGUCUUACCAUGUCCCACUGAAAAAAAUAUAAAGUUAAUUAGAGUCACAAGCUACUCCGUCAUGAAUUCUGAGCCAAGCUCCUCUGUCAUGAAUUCUGAGCCAAGCUCCUCUGUCAUGAAUUCUGAGGUGAAUGUAGUAGGCUUAAUUUCAAGAAACAAGUACAAACCAUACUCACUAAUUCAUCAAGAUUAAUGGCAACGCUGCUUAUAGAGGGUUUGGCACAUCUGUAUCACAAAAAAACUGGAGGGCUGUGAAGGGAAACCAAGUAUAAAACUACCAUGCACUGCUACAAUUUUGGAGAAUCAUUCUGUGAGAGCCAAUGUGUGGCCCUUCAGCAAUUCAACUACUCUUCUCAUGGAGGGCCUGUUCAUGGGAAACGCUGCAGUGCAUAGAAGAGCCACAUCCAAAACUUUCUCAAUCUCUUCAUAAUCACCUGUAGAUGGGUUCAGCCUUGGGUCUACAAGCUGAUCCAGAUCCAUACAGCCGCUGCAGCCAUUCCCAUCACUUCCUUCUGGAGCCGAUAAUGCAGCCUCUGUUACCCACUUCACUAUGUCCCUGUUUUCACCAAAGGAGGGGUCAUUGGGCCUUUUCCCAGUUACUAGCUCCAUUAAUACAACACCAAAACUAUACACGUCGCUCUUCUCAGUCACCUUCAGCGUGUAAGCGUAUUCUGCAGUUGGUCGAUUCAACACCAACAUAGAUUAGCAAGAUAACCAUCUUUACAUAAUAUCUAUGAUCAAACGAAGAUUAUCUCAGAUGUUUGGGAAUUUGAAAACUAAACAUGAGACUGAAACAGAGUGAGAGAGGGCAAACUAAGCUCACCUGGUGCAAUGUAGCCAUAGGAGCCAGCGACACGAGACAUGAGCUCAUCGCUUUCGCCCACCUCGCGGUGCAGCGUCUUGGCCAGCCCAAAAUCAGCUAUACGUGGACUGAACUCCUCGUCCAAGAGUAUAUUGUUAGACUUUACAUCCCGGUGCACGAUGGCCGGCACGCAGUCGUGGUGCAAAUACGCCAGUCCCUGAGCUGCACCAACUGCUAUCUUGAACCGCCGGUGCCAAUCCAACAAACCUUCACCCUUAUCCCCAUGCAACACCUCACCCAAGCUCCCAUUCUCCAUGUACUCGUAUACCAAAACUCUGAAAUCCUCGUCGCUGCAGCUAAACAACAGUUUUACGAUAUUGCAAUGCCGGAUUCCUCCCAAUGUCUCCACCUCAGAUUGGAAAAUGGCUUCCGUUUCUGGUUCUCGCCUGCCUCCACAAAGUUUCUUAACCGCUAUGGUCUGACCAGUUUUCAGCUUCACUCUGUAGACCUGACCCGACCCACCGGUACCGACGAGGUUUUCGUCCUUUAAUGAUGAGGAAAUUUCCUCUUCAUUGAACCGAAUGGAUUGGAAUAUGGUAGUUUUCCAUUGGCGAUUGGGUUUGUCGCCAAAUAUUUUUGAUCUGGUCUUCAAGAACCAGAAGAGUGAUCCGAGUAGAAGUAUUAAUGUAAAAAUGGCUAAAACACCAAUCAAAUACAAGGUGAUGGGUUUGGAUCGCGAGCAUGGAGGGAGCGGUUUCAGGUUCGGACUGCACAGAUUCGGGUUACCCAUCAAACUCUGGAGAUAAUACUUGUGGCUGAACCCGAUUGGGACUUCACCCGACAGUAGGUUGUUGGAAACGUUAAAUAUGUUGAGCUUUAACUUCGUUAACUCCACCGGAAUCUCUCCGGUGAGAAAGUUGCCGGCGAGGUCUAGGUACGUUAGAACUGGUAAAUUUCCGAGCUCCGCGGGAAUUUCGCCUGUGAAUCUAUUACCUGCAAGGUUCAAUUCCGUCAGAUCAGUCCACGAGCUUACUCUGCUUGGAAUCCCUCCAGAUAACAUGUUCUGUUGAAGCUCCAGAUUCUGUAGCUUCUUCAAGUCGGUUAUACACACAGGGACAUCGCCGGAAAACUGAUUCCUGCUUCCAUCGAAGGACAUCAGCCUUUUCAAGCCGCAUAUAUCAGCAGGCAACUUAUCCGAAAAUUUGUUACCAGAGAUAAGAAAGUUUGUCAGCUUCUGAGCUCCGGAUAUGGAAGGAGGAAUGGAACCUUGGAAUCUAUUGUUUUCUAAUUGAAGAAAAUGUAGCUCAGGCAAACCCCAAAACCUAUUAGGCACUUCUCCAGAAAGUUCAGUGCUGAAGAUACGUACAUAAGAUAGAGAAUUGCAGUCACCGUACGUCUCCGGCAGAUUUCCUGAGAAUUGGUUGUUGAAUAAGAUGAGACGUCGAAGCCUCUUCCUGUAACAUAAAAACGGAGGCAAGUCACCUGUGAAAUUGUUACCAGAGACAUCAAUAUCAAUCAGAGCAGAAUUCCGACCAAGAUUUUCUGGCAAAGAGCCGGAAAAUCUGUUAUUGAAGAUCUUCAGCUCAUGUAGAUUUGGAUUUGAUGCUAGACUUUCCGGAAUCUCCCCAUCGAAGAAAUUAUCGUUAAGAUUAAGCGACUUGAGAGGCAUUCCUGCGAUCUUCUCCGGCAAUUUUCCUGAGAGAUUGUUCUGGGACGCGUCCAAUUGAACUAAAGCUGUCAUAUUUGAGAUACUUUCCGGCAGUUCGCCGGAGAGAUUGUUGAGGUAGAGCUCUAUUUGUAUUACGUUUUUCAAUCUGCCAAUACUGUCAGGGAUCUUACCGGAGAGACUGUUGUUGGAGAGAUCGAAAUUCGUGACCGACACGAGACUGCCGACUGAUUCAGGUAUGUCUCCGAUGAGGCUCGAGCAAGGAAACCAAAGAUUUUCGAGCUUAGUUAGGUUACCUAUAUUCGAAGGCAAGCGACUGGGCUUGAACGGAUUAUAAGCUAUUUCGAGCCGAGUUAACUCAGUGAGGUUCGUUAAGAAUGACGGAAUCGAACCGUCGAGGAGGUUUUGACACAAUCUCAGGACUUUGAGCGCCGGAAAGCGGCCGAAACUGGCCGGAAUCUCGCCGCUGAAGUUGUUGAAUGAGAGAUCCAAAAUCAGCAAGCUACCAAACUCCGGCACGAACUCCGGCAAUUCUCCAGUCAACUCAUUUGAAGAGAGAUUCAGAGAGUGGAGAUGAAAGCAGGGGGAAACUAACUCUGAUGUGAGACUACCAUUAAGAUUAUUAUCAGCGAGAGAGAGGUUCUGGAGUGUCUGAAUCCUGCAGAACCCUGAAGGAAAGCCACCAGAAACACCAAACCCAGACAAAUCGAUGGAAACAACGGCAUGUGUUUUGUAAUCACAAGCAAUACCAGUCCAUUUGCAGGGAUCAUCACUGGUGGGAACCCAGU
rnacentral:lncRNA from 1 species